UCUCCGUUGGUGAACCAGCGGAGGGAUCAUUACAGGAUCGAAAGACUCUUAUAACCCCUGUGAACUUACUACAAAUACGUUGCUUCGGCGGGUGCCCCGGGUCUCCCGGGGCGUUCAGCCCGCCGGCAGCCUUCAAAUUCUGUUUCUUUGCGUUGGCAUCUCGAGUAUACAAAAAUAAGUUAAAACUUUCAACAACGGAUCUCUUGGUUCUG
rnacentral:misc_RNA from 1 species